AAGACUAUACUUUCAGGGAUCAUUUCUAUAGUUUGUUACUAGAGAAGUUUCUUUGAUCGUGUAGAGCACCGAAAACCACGAGGAGGAGCCACAGUGUUUUCUUCUGAGCGUGAAGCCGGCGUUUGGUGUGGUAGUCAUUACAUCUGCCAUUUGCCAUUGAUGAUCGUUCUUACUCUUCUGUGGAAGAGUUAGAGGGGGAAAACGCAUUCUGAGUGGU
rnacentral:snoRNA from 11 species